rnacentral:lncRNA from 1 species
CAAGCUUCCCCUACGUCAUAUCAGCGACCACAGUCUCCCCUCUUAUCCCUUUAGCUCCUCAGUUCGAGUUUCCCGACGCGGCCCCCACCCUUAACCCCUAGCCUCCAGGGAUCCCAGACAUCCUCCCGGCUCCCUAGAGCCCUCCCCUGUUCUCAGCCCCGUUAGACCCUCCCCUCAGAGCAGAACGCGUUUGCGCUCUAUGUCCCUCCGCAGCCCCUCCACCGUCCUCUCUGCCCCCAAAGGUACCUCCCCACCUCCACUUUAGUCUCACCCCUAAGUACCCCGAAGAAAGCCAAUAUUUCCUUCUCUCCGCAGCAUCCCAGAUAUUAACUGUUCUAUCUCAAUGGUUUUCAGAUUUUAUCUUGCCUCUUGGGUACCCUUUGGGACCCUUAUGUCAUCCCCACCAUCAGGGCACCCAGACUUAACCCUAACUGCAAGUCCCAGACUCACUCUGGUCCUUAUUGAUGAGCCAGGUGUCCUUGGAGUCAAGUGGCUCACUGUCACCGAUUUCAUUCCGAGCCACCACUCUGAAGUAGUACUUCCUGCCUGGGAGCAGCCCCGUCACUGUGUACUUGUUGCUGAAGACACGCUCGGCUGCUGUGUACCAGGUGGCUGUGCUUGCAUCCCGCUUCAUGAUGACAUAGUGAGCCUCAUUGUCCUCCUGCACAUCUGGGCUGUGGUUCCAGGUCAGAGUCACUGUGUUGGGGACUUCCUCAAACAACCGUAGGUUUGUGGGGGGCCGAGGGAAAUCUGGAAGAGUUGGAAGAUCUGUCAGCGACCUUGGGGCACCUGAAGUAUUGUGUCCCCACCCCAGCCAUCUGCCAAGUCCGAUGGAAGAUAAGAUGGGACAAGUCUCAGGCAGCUGGUGUCUUGGAGUCGGAAAACUAUUUCUGAAGUCUGCUCUGCCAUUUACUAGCCUCGUGACCUGGGGCCAUACAGACAUCUAGCUGCCCUGCAACACUGUGAAGCAUUUAUUUGUUUUCUCAUCUGUCUCCUUCUACUAGUACGCAAGACCCUGGAAGGCAAGUCCUUGUGUCUUGUUUCUAUAUCCCUAACACCUCCUUUUGAAAUUGCCAUUGCAACAAUUAUAACAGCGAGAAAAUUAUGACAGUGAACAAGAUCUGAUCUAACCAACCCCCAUCUUGCCUUUAACCUCCAAACUGCCCUUAAUCAUUCCUGGUUUCAGACCAAGCUAAUGUUGGGAGAGACAUUUAGUUUAUAGCUUAGAUGGUAACAGUCUUCCCCCAAACUAAAUCACCUUUGCGAAGCUAAUGAAAGGCCACCAGGUUAGGAGGAUGUGAGAAGCCUGAAUUCUGCUAAGGUGUAGACAUAAAAGAUUACCAGCCAUUAUUCCAUAGAUCACAAGAUUUGCAACUCCC